UAAGCACAAUGACAGAAUAGUUCAGAAGAAACAUGCAAAAACUCAGGGAAGGAGCACAAAUGCAAGUUUUGGAGUCUGAUUAUAUUAUCAUUUGUGGUUUAAACGGUCGUCUGUCUUUCAUUCUAAAGCAACUAGAUCGAUCUCAUCAAUUCGCUGUGCGUUUAGGGACUGCUACAGCAACGAGGCAGAGAAUUCUUCUUAUGUCAGAUCUUCCGAGAAAGCAAAUGGACAAACUAACUGACAAC